UGCAUCGUCAGCUGAUCCUCCAGAGAACUGAGAAGGUUUAUAGUCCUGUGAGUUCAAACCCUGCAGGACUCGGACCUGUCAGUCAACCCAGCAGGAACCACGACCACCAUGACUCUGAUCGCCCUCCUCGUCUGGACGCUGGCCUGCUGCUGCUUCACAGGAUGCAGCGGUCAGGUGACUGUGACUCAGCCUCCAGCAGUGACAUCUGCUCCAGGAUCCACCGUCACCCUCACCUGUAAGAGUAGUGAACCUGUUUACAGAUAUGGUGAUGGAGAUCAGGCUAUGUUCUGGUAUCAACAGAAAGCUGGACAGCCUCCACAGCUCCUCAUCAAAUAUGUGAGCACACUUCUAUCAGGAACACCAGCUCGGUUUAGUGGCGGUGGAAGCAGCUCUGACUUCACUUUGACCGUCAGUGGAGUUCAGAGUGAAGACGCAGCGGUUUAUUACUGUCAGAGUUACCACUCCGGUGGUGUGUACACUUUUGGUGGAGGAACCAAACUCAUCGUUGACUCUGGCCCCAUGGUCCAGCCCUCGGUCUCUCUGCUUCCCCCCUCCUCGGAGCAGCUCUCCGGGGGCUCGGCCACGCUGGCCUGCCUGCUGUCCGGCUACUCUCCUCAGGGGGCCGUGGUGAGCUGGGAGGUGGACGGCACGGAGGUGACAGAGGGGGUCCUGAGCAGCUCCGAGGAGGAGGAGAGCGGACGCCACAGCAGCAGCAGCACCCUGAACCUGAGCCGGCAGCGCUGGAUGGAAGGAGAGCUGUACUCCUGCAAGGUCCUCCAUCAUGGCCACAGCGAGACCCGGUCCCUCCACAGGAGCCAGUGUAAGGGCUAGAGGAGCUGGCUGAAGCCCAGGACGGGGAGCUCUGUGUGGGGGGGAGAGAGCAGCAGGAACCCACCUGCUGCUGCUCUGAUCAAUAUGAGUUUGAGUGAUUGUAAUCUAAAGAUGAUUGAUGUUGUUUCUAAUAAAAGGUUUCACUGAUGAAUAGCAA